AUCCAGACUCCUACGGGAGGCAGCAGUGGGGAAUAUUGCACAAUGGGCGAAAGCCUGAUGCAGCGACGCCGCGUGAAGGAUGAAGUAUUUCGGUAUGUAAACUUCUAUCAGCAGGGAAGAAAAUGACGGUACCUGACUAAGAAGCCCCGGCUAACUACGUGCUAGCAGCCGCGGUAAUACGUAGGGGGCAAGCGUUAUCCGGAUUUACUGGGUGUAAAGGGAGCGUAGACGGCGAUGCAAGCCAGAUGUGAAAGCCCGGGGCUCAACCCCGGGACUGCAUUUGGAACUGUGUGGCUGGAGUGUCGGAGGGGCAAGUGGAAUUCCUAGUGUAGCGGUGAAAUGCGUAGAUAUUAGGAGGAACACCAGUGGCGAAGGCGACUUUCUGGACUGUAACUGACGCUGAGGCACGAAAGUGUGGGGAGCAAACAGGAUUAGAUACCCCCGUA
rnacentral:rRNA from 1 species